UACGUAGGGUACGAGCGUGUUCGGAUCGAUCUGGGCGUAAAGCGCGUGUAGGCGGAUGAGCAAGUCUGCUGUGAAAGCUCCUGGCUUAACCGGGAGUGGUCGGUGGAAACUGCUCGUCUGGAGGACGGUAGAGGUAGGUAGAAUUCCCGGUGUAGUGGUGAAAUGCGUAGAGAUCGGGAGGAAUACCUGUGGCGAAGGCGGCCUACUGGGCCGGACCUGACGCUGAGACGCGAAGGCGUGGGGAGGCGAACGGG
rnacentral:rRNA from 1 species